UACAGAGGGGGCGAGCGUUAUUCGGAAUUAUUGGGCGUAAAGGGCGCGUAGGCGGCUAAGCAAGUGGCGGGUGAAAUCCCUCGGCUCAACCGAGGAACUGCCCGCCAGACUGCAUGGCUUGAGGCCGGGAGAGGUGAGUGGAAUUCCCAGUGUAGCGGUGAAAUGCGUAGAUAUUGGGAGGAACACCAGUGGCGAAGGCGGCUCACUGGACCGGAACUGACGCUGAGGCGCGAAAGCGUGGGGAGCAAACAGG
rnacentral:misc_RNA from 1 species